AGGUAUCUACCUAAUGGUAGGAAGAAAUUAAUUAUGUAAUGGUAGGAAAAAUAAUUCACUUUAAUUAUGUAUUAGAAAAUCAGUAAUCUUAAAUUAGGAUGCAUCAAUGGAGAAGAAGGCAAUUGUAAUCACAAUACAAUAAUAGAUCUACAAAUACCAAGCAAUACAUUAAAUCAAAUAUCUCAGUAACACUGUUAUUAUGUACUCCCUGUGGUCUUAUUAAUGUCAGCUUAUUGAUAGCUCGAUUACCAGUCAAAUAGUUUCGAUGUUUUCUAUACUAUGAAGAAAUUUUGAUCUGAUUAGAUUAAUUCAGAUGUAAAUUUAUGUUAUACGGUGAAUGUAUCGAGUCAUAUAUUAUGCAGAAUAUAUUGAGAAAAAUGGUAAACUAAC